UCGGUCUUUCCCACCUCCGUUAAUGGCUGUAUCUCUUCCUUCCCCUUACCCACAUACGCCGGACAGUGGAUUCUCAGUUGACCUUCUUUAUUAGCAGUAAUACGGCCAGCCGCUGCUACUCCUCGUUUUAGCAAAAUGUGGAAAAUGUCGAUUCCAGAGGAAGUUGAAACUCUUGGCUAGACCUCCCCCCACCUUUGAACUAGAAUAUGGAGAUUGAAGAUUAU